rnacentral:rRNA from 1 species
CAGUCGUACCGGCGGAUAAUCAGCCUUUCGGGCGCGAUUCUGUGGGGCGUGAGGAGCUUAACCGCCUUCAUGUUUUGCAUAUUCGCGCACAUUUGGUGUACUUGUCCGUGUGGUGGGUUAACAUCAAUUUCGGUCGUCAUAAAACGAUUGGAGGAAUGUAGCUUUGGUCUCGUAUCGAAGUGUUAUAGACUCUGG